rnacentral:rRNA from 1 species
GAUGAACGCUAGCUACAGGCUUAACACAUGCAAGUCGAGGGGAAACGAUAGAGAAAGCUUGCUUUUUCUAGGCGUCGACUGGCGCACGGGUGAGUAACGCGUAUCCAACCUGCCCAUCACUUGGGGAUAACCUUGCGAAAGUAAGACUAAUACCCAAUGAUAUCUCUAGAAGACAUCUGAAGGAGAUUAAAGAUUUAUCGGUGAUGGAUGGGGAUGCGUCUGAUUAGCUUGUUGGAGGGGUAACGGCCCAACAAGGCGACGAGCAGUAGGGGUUCUGAGAGGAAGGUCCCCCACAUUGGAACUGAGACACGGUCCAAACUCCUACGGGAGGCAGCAGUGAGGAAUAUUGGUCAAUGGGCGAGAGCCUGAACCAGCCAAGUAGCGUGCAGGAUGACGGCCCUAUGGGUUGUAAACUGCUUUUAUAAGGGAAUAAAGUGAGCCUCGUGAGGCUUUUUGCAUGUACCUUAUGAAUAAGGACCGGCUAAUUCCGUGCCAGCCGCCGCAGUAA